AUGGCUGAAAGUGUUCUGGAGCUGCUGAUGUCCAGCGCGCUGGGUUACCUCUGCAAAAAGGAACAAAAAAGGAAGAAAAAAGCACCAGAAGAAAGGACAACAGAGCUUCAGCACAGAGGUAACCAAAAAUUGGCGAAUAUGGGAGGGUGGUUUACCCGUCAGGAGGGAAUUACUCCAAAAAUCAAACAAACAGCUGAAGCUAUCUCUCGACUUUUACAAGAACAGAGUAUAACCGUAGAAGAAAGUAAGUUAUGGGACUUGUUAUAUUGGAUUUCCUUGCAUGAACCUGCAUUACCUCUAGCUGGACCUUACCAAGUAUCAUCUUGGAGGAAAAUAGGGAACAAGGUUAUUGAAAAAGCCAGUGAAGGAAAAACAGACGCCCUCAAGAAUUUGGCUACAUGGAAAGACAUAAUGAUAGCCUUGAAUAAGCACUACAGAAAGGCAAAUGCACCCGGGAGAGGGACUCCUCCCCCCCUCACUCCUUUCCCCUCAACCCCCCCCCUCAACCCAGCCCCCACGACCGAGUGGCCCCGCGGGGGGGAUUACUUUGGCCAGGAGGAUGGGGGGGAACGGGGAGCCCUGGGGGGAACAGUGCAGUGGCGGCGUGUGGUGUGGAGAGCAUGGUUGGGGGCUGGCAGCAUGAGCAUGGCAGUGGGGGGGAAUUCUGGCUUUAUGCCAGCGCCCAUGGCUGCAGUUGACACCAUGCCAUACAGAGCAGCAAGCAGUGCUGCUGGAGCCGAGGACCGUUACAGAGCAGCGCCUACCCCUAGACUGUUACGGGGUGACCGUUACACAGCAGUUGCACAGUCAACGUGCAGAAGGAGAGUGGCACCGGAGGCACCGCCAUGUUGCCCCUGCCGUGCGCCGGAAGUGAAGCCGCCACCCCCAGGUUCAGGCAUUUCGCCGGGAAGGGGGGAGGAUGACUGUGACGGACAAAUAGAUGAGGAGUCUAUAGAGGACACAGAAGAGAAUCUGCUAGCUCCCUUUAGCCAGGGCGGUCCACUAACACCCUUUGGCUGCCCAGCAGCCAUGAGACCGCUGCAGAACAACCAUGCAGCAACAUGGACACAGCAAGCUUACUCCGGCCAUGAGGUGGAAGUGAAAGCACCUCUUCUGUCACCACCAGUUCAACCAACUCACAACAAAUGCACAACAGUUGAAACAUCACUGUGGCUCUCCUACCAAGAAACCAACCCACAGCCCUCACCAGCCUCAGAACAGCUUCUAUGCCAAAGAUGGCCUGAUAGAGGAGGAAGAAGAGAUAUUUACUCCCUAGAAAGCUUAGCUGAGCUAUGGCAAACUGAACUUAGCGAGACAAGAGAACCAGAAAGAAGACAAGCAGUUUUGAAUCCUGUAAAAGAAGAAGAACAGCAAACAUGGUUACAGCUAGUACUUCAGCUCGAGGAAGAAGAUGCAGACUGGGAAAGCACACAGAACAUCUGCCUACCCAAGCCCAAACCAUCAGCAAAGUCAAAACUACCGACGUUGAAGUGGACAGCAUGUGUACUGACUGCGUUGCUGGCGAUGACAGCUGUUGGUUUUGUACUGCGAGAAUUUCAGCUGGGACAACACCAUCCACCUCCUGACAGAACCAACAACCUAGAGGUAGCAUUGCAAAACACAGCAGACAUACAGCUAUCAACUACCAUGUUUAAUUUUCUAAGUCACAAAAGGACAACUUUACUAAUUGACAGAUUAUCUGCUAUUAUAAAAAGUUCUUUUGUGUUACAGGGGGUAAGAAUAAUAAUAAGAGGGGCCCCAAAUCAAGUAUUUACUUCUCACUAUUUUAAAAUGCUGUUAGACAAUAUGCCAUACACAACAUGGAAAGCCAAACUUAAACAAGUAGCAAACAAACAACCAGUUACAAUUUCUACUGCAGAAACACAUAACUCUUUAUACACAGUCACUGCAAGAGCCUUGAGAAAGCAAAACAAACAAAACCCUCAUACAAUAGAAGCCCAAAGAUGCUCCACAAAGUUGCAACAUACAACAAUACAACAAUACCUCUAA
ensembl:lncRNA